rnacentral:pre_miRNA from 1 species
AGAGCACUGAGAUAUUGGCACGGCUCAAUCAGAAAAACAAAUUAAGCCUUCUUCGAUCUUAAUGUUAAGAUAUAUGUUUUUCUCCUGAGUGAACCGGGCCAACAUCGCAGUAACUAUU